GAUGAACGCUGGCGGCGUGCCUAAUACAUGCCAGUCGAGCGAACGGACGAGAAGCUUGCUUCUCUGAUGUUAGCGGCGGACGGGUGAGUAACACGUGGAUAACCUACCUAUAAGACUGGGAUAACUUCGGGGAACCGGAGCUAAUACCGGAUGAUAUUUUGAAUCGCAUGGUUCAAAAGUGAAAGACGGUCUUGCUGUCACUUAUAGAUGGAUCCGCGCUGCAUUAGCUAGUUGGUAAGGUAACGGCUUACCAAGGCAACGAUGCAUAGCCGACCUGAGAGGGUGAUCGGCCACACUGGAACUGAGACACGGUCCAGACUCCUACGGGAGGCAGCAGUAGGGAAUCUUCCGCAAUGGGCGAAAGCCUGACGGAGCAACGCCGCGUGAGUGAUGAAGGUCUUCGGAUCGUAAAACUCUGUUAUUAGGGAAGAACAUAUGUGUAAGUAACUGUGCACAUCUUGACGGUACCUAAUCAGAAAGCCACGGCUAACUACGUG
rnacentral:rRNA from 1 species